rnacentral:lncRNA from 1 species
CAAAAAGGAUGUUAUUAUUAGUAAAGUAUUUACUUAUUUGAACAAAUUAUUUUUUGGGUUGUGACCUAAAAUAUAUUUAAUUCUUUCUAAUUUUAAAUGAAAACAAGCGCGGUAAUUUAAUUCGUCUUUUGUUUUUCACUUUCACUCACUUUCCCCAAAUACCAUCAACCCUAAUAUAACCACCCUAAAUGCUCAAUAGACGCGGCCAGAAAAAAUCCAAAAAAAGUCUGCUUUCUAUUUCUUUCUCGGUGGUUGUUUGAUUAAGCUUGAAGCCAUCCACUCGUAUAUUCGUUGAUUAGUGUUUUGAGUCGGGAAGUUCGAAUGGGGGUUUCUUAAUUAAGGCUGGAAGUUGUAAGUUCCUUCCCCUCUAAUUUUAUUUGUUUCUAGUUUAGGAUUUUGAUUCUCUUAUAGCUUUGGUUAAUGCUCUUAAAAUAAGAGGUCGUACCUCGGGUCAACACUCCCUCAAAGCAAAAUUAGGGCUCAAUUUCAUGCGAAGUCAUCACUGAUUUCUCAAGAACCUGAGUUUUCCAUGUUGUAUUGGAGUAUAAUAUUUCAGUUUUUGCGACAAAUUUUAAUUUCAAUAUUCACUAACUUUAGUAGUGUAUUUUGGUGGUUUAUGGUUGAACUUGUGAUGGGUAUUUAGGUUGAAGAAUUUGAGGAAAAAAAAAUUUCCCAUGGAAAAGUCAGAGCUAUAAUAGUUAUCUCAACUGGAAAUCUUUUCCACUAUAGUUUUGUAGUUUGCUUUAUUAGUUUGAGUCAUUAAAAUAGUUGCUUCCAAUUUAGUCUCUUUAAAAGCAAAACAGAAACCUAUACUUGGUAAGAAAGGUCCAGUAGCAUAUACAGUUGGCAUGUGUAUGGUGGCAUCUGCAAUAUGUAGGUGUAUAGUGUGUGUGGGUGAAUAACUUAACAGAGGAGCAUUUGAAAUUAUUUUGUAGCAAUCAAUUGCUUCAGAAGCUCUGCUAAAUUGGCAAUUAUCUCUAAGAAUUGUAGUUGAAGUACGAUAGAAGUACCAUCAAAUUGUUAUGUUGUAGUUUUAGAAAACUAAAUAUGUUAAUAGUAAUUCGAUGAACAUGACAUCUGUCUGUUUUGCAUUCUUCUUCAUGAUGGUUAUUCGAUGAAAGUGGCACUUACUAUUAGAAGCAAAAAAGAAUAAGAUCAACUAUUUGAUGGUUAUGUUGGAGUAGGAUUCUGUUAUUUUCUUGCACACCCUUUCGUAAAUGACAAGCUUGUGCAUUGUUUUUCAUUAGAUGUGCCUAUAGCGUUUUUCAAAUAGAAAACGAACAUCUGAUUGAUAACUGAUUGGUUGACAUCUUGUAAUGAUUUGUUAGGCAGAAGAGCAAAAAUAUGGCAUCACUUCUCGUCUUGAAGUCCUAUAGAAAGAAAGACAUUUCUUUGGUGUUGCAUUUAUAUUUUUAAUAAGGUAUUAUGCUGCUUAAUUGCUAUUUCCUUCGAGUAAUGGUGAUAUGAAUGUCUCAGCUCAAAAUAGCCUCUUCUUUUCCAUCUCAGGAAGGAAGGCGCAAAAUUUAUUGGAGAUGAUCUAUUGAGUGGUUAGUUCCUAGUUGUAUUUUGGAAGAUCUUUUUGGGGUUCCUUAAUUCUGGAAUGAGGGCUGAAAUGGUUAGAGAUGGUACCUAUUUAUUUUACUUUAACAAUUAAAUUUAUAUGUAACUAUUCCUUCUUGUUUGGUUAAGUUAUUUAUACUUAAAUUUUUUUCAUGCCUAGAUGGCUGAGACAGGGAUAAAGUCAGGACGAGGACAAAUUUGUCUUGCUAUGCAUAAGAAAUAAGAUUGGAUCAUAUGUGAGUGAGGGGGCAAGAGAAAUAUUUGUAAGUUGCACUCCUUUCCCUUUAUCUCUUCUAGAACUAGAAUCAUGAUUUGCAUCUUGGCAUGUGUCUGUAAUGUUGGUAAUAUCAUGGACGAUACGUUAGCUAGUGGGUUAUAAGUUUCUCAUCAAAUAUUUUUAUUUCAUUAUUUCAGUUGGAUGAUGAGUUUACUUCACUUGUGGAAUAAGAGGAUUAUCGGGUGGCAGCAAUGAAAAUCACCAAGCAAAUACAUAGUGCUUUUAAUAUGUUUAUAAAUUUAUAAAUUGUAGAACCAUUUUAGAUUUGAUAAUGUUUAAGUUACAUUCUGUUUAAUAAAUCUUUUGAGUUACCUUACAGGAGUUUGUAUUAGCUUAGUUUGAUAAAGAUUUGAACUUCUUAAGCUUAGUAUUAUAAUUAUUUGUAAUGAAAUUUUAUUUGUGUUAUAGGUUAUCUAAUAAAAUUGUUUUUUUCGAUGCUAUAA